CUCUCAUUACAUUUUCGCGUUACUUGCAGUCUUCAGGGUCUCUGACUCUACAAUCU
rnacentral:misc_RNA from 1 species